AAGAAAUAUCUAUUGAAAACUUGGAAUGAUUCAAGCUGAAACUUGUAUGGUGUCGUGGCCUAUCAAAAGGGGACCUUCAGGGUCUCACAGAAGUUUGGUUGGUGGGUGAAAACCCGUAAAAUCAGAUAAGCAAAAAUGGGUAAUGGGUCCAAACUCAAAAAGAUGUCACAUAAAUGAAUUUGUUAUUAUUUUCACUACAUCAUGGAUAGCGUAGACCAGGCCAGGGCAAUUCCAGUCCUCAGGGGCCUGAUUGGUGUCACUUUUCGCCAUCCCUAGAAACACACCUGAUUUAAACAAAUUGCAUUUUUAACUGAAGAUCAAGAUUGGUUGGUUAUUGGAGUCAGGUGUGUUAGCCGGGACUGACAGGUGUGUUAGCUGGGACUGACAGGUGUGUUAGCUGGGACUGACAGGUGUGUUAGCUGGGACUGACAGGUGUGUUAGCUGGGACUGACAGGUGUGUUAGCUGGGACUGACUGGUGUGUUAGCUGGGACUGACUGGUGUGUUAGCCGGGACUGACAGGUGUGCUAGCUGGGACUGGGGAAAAAGUGUGACACCAAUCUUUAUUUAACUAGGCAAGUCUACUGUGGGUUAACUGCCUGUUCAGGGGCAGAACAACAGAGUUGUUUAUUUGUAACUUUAUGGUGAUAUACUGACCCCCAGUGGCAAGUAUUAUAGCAUCCACAACCUAACCUAUUGUCGGUCCUAUUUGGGAGACACAGGGGCUUAUUCAGGUGAAGGCAAUUUUACAAUAACAUAGACAUACAUUGUGAAGAGCAGAUAUGAUCCCCAUGUGGACCAGGGAAUCUCAUCUGCUUUAAGUGACAUCAGUUGUUGUAUCAUAUCCGUUAUUGUAUUAUAUGGUAUUAUUGUAUUAUGUUGUUGUAUUGUUGUCUCUACCUUCUUGCCCUUUGUGCUGUUGUCUGUGCCCAAUAAUGUUUGUACCAUGUUUUGUGCUGCCUCCAUGUUGUGUUGCUACCAUGCUUUGUUGUUGUCCUAGGUCUCUCUUUAUGUAGUAUUGUGUUGUCUCUCUUGUCGUGAUGUGUGUUAUGUCCUAUAUUUAUAUGCUAAUUCAUUUUUUCCCAAAACAAAACAAAUCCCAGCCCC
ensembl:lncRNA